CACGUAGGGUGCGAGCGUUGUCCGGAAUUAUUGGGCGUAAAGAGCUCGUAGGCGGUGUGUCGCGUCGGCCGUGAAAACCUGCAGCUUAACUGUGGGCGUGCGGUCGAUACGGGCAUCACUGGAGUUCGGCAGGGGAGACUGGAAUUCCUGGUGUAGCGGUGAAAUGCGCAGAUAUCAGGAAGAACACCAAUGGCGAAAGCAGCUUUCUGGGACGGUACUGACGCUGAGACGCGAAAGCGUGGGGAGCGAACAGG
rnacentral:rRNA from 1 species